GAUGAACGCUAGCGAUAGGCUUAACACAUGCAAGUCGAGGGGUAACGUGUUGGAAGCUUGCUUCCGAUGACGACGACCGGCGGAUGGGUGCGUAACGCGUAUGCAACUUGCCUCACAGUGGAGAAUAACCCGGAGAAAUCCGGACUAAUACUCCAUACACUCUUAAGUACGCCUGUACAUGAGAGGAAAGAUUUAUCGCUGUGAGAUAGGCAUGCGUCCUAUUAGGUAGUUGGUGAGGUAACGGCUCACCAAGCCGACGAUAGGUAGGGGUGCUGAGAGGCAGAUCCCCCACAUUGGGACUGAGACACGGCCCAAACUCCUACGGGAGGCAGCAGUGAGGAAUAUUGGUCAAUGGAGGAAACUCUGAACCAGCCAAGUCGCGUGAAGGAAGAAUGUCCUAAGGAUUGUAAACUUCUUUAGCGAGCGAGUAAGGACUUCCACGUGAUGGGGGUUUGAAAGUAGCUCGAGAAUAAGUAUCGGCUAACUCCGUG
rnacentral:rRNA from 1 species